rnacentral:rRNA from 1 species
UAAUUGAAGAGUUUGAUCAUGGCUCAGAUUGAACGCUGGCGGCAGGCCUAACACAUGCAAGUCGGGCGGUAACAGGGAGAAGCUUGCUUCUCUGCUGACGAGCGGCGGACGGGUGAGUAAUGUAUGGGGAUCUGCCUGAUGGAGGGGGAUAACUACUGGAAACGGUAGCUAAUACCGCAUAAUGUCUUCGGACCAAAGCGGGGGACCUUCGGGCCUCGCGCCAUCAGAUGAACCCAUAUGGGAUUAGCUAGUAGGUGAGGUAACGGCUUACCUAGGCGACGAUCCCUAGCUGGUCUGAGAGGAUGAUCAGCCACACUGGGACUGAGACACGGCCCAGACUCCUACGGGAGGCAGCAGUGGGGAAUAUUGCACAAUGGGCGCAAGCCUGAUGCAGCCAUGCCGCGUGUAUGAAGAAGGCCUUCGGGUUGUAAAGUACUUUCAGUCGGGAGGAAGGUGU